CUGCUGUAUAUGAUCUAGCCGUUGCCACCUCCCACCUGUGGCAGCUGGGGCAAUGGGCCAAGAGCAGAAUCUGGUGACAAAGUAGCCUUGGGUGGCUUGGUUGGCCACACACGCCACUGAAAGCACCUCUCCCAGGCAUCCAGUCGCCUCCAGUGCCUGCUGAAGCAAGAAAGCGCGCCAAAGGCCGACUCCAGCUGUGUCUGCAUCAUAAUUAAGGCUGCAAAACCCCAGAAUGAAUGAAGUCUCCCCAGCUAAUGUGCCACUUCUAAUUUAAUCUAAUUGGCCUCUGAAAGAGAGCCCUGGCCUGCCUCAGAGGCAAAAAUCUUCCAAAUGAAGUGAAUUUAAACUAAUUUAAGCUCACUAAUUACAAACUGGGGGGUUCUGUCACAAGAACAAUUGUUACUGUUCUUUGAUUACUUGCUCAACUGGAUUAUUUGCUCAUUACCUUUAGAGCUGCUGGGACUUUCAUGGGGUGCCCCUUGCCGCACAUCAAUAAGGCAGCCUGGAGUGGAGGGUCCCCACCCCAGAUGGGCAUGGAGCUCUGAGGAUUAGCUUGGCUUUCUGAGUGUUUGGAGAAUCUUAAAGCGAACGCACAGCAUGUGCUGCUCACUCAACCUGCAGCUAACUACACCUCUUUUUGGAGACAUAAGUUUUUCUUUCGCUUUGGGAUGUAGGUUUUGAGUUUUGACGUCGUCUGUUGAACCAACCUCUUUAUCGUUCAAUGGUUCUGACCUUGAGAUGCAGCCCGGUAUACCUGGGUAGAGAUCUGGAGCAAAAGUGGGGAGAAAAAAAAGACCUGUAGCCAAGCCUGUUUCUCAGCAGCUGCGUGAGGUGGCUGGCUGCCGCACCUCUCUGAGCCACAGGCAGAGAUCUGGUGGAAAAAGCAUGAAAUCUGCAGACCUUCAUGUUUGAGCUUCAGUUCCCUCCUCCCGGGCAUGUUAAAUUUAGCCUACAGCUGCCUCCUUACUCAUUUUAAGAGUAACAAAUGUUAUGUUACAUUUGGGACCUGUGUGGCUGAAGGUUUCCCUGCACAAAGGGAAUUGUCCCCUAACGGGAUGUGGAAGGGGCUGUAACCUACUCUUGUGGCAAGUAGCCGCACUUCAACCCCUCACAGGCGGCCGACGCUUCAGACUGUGUCCGAGUGCGGCCAACGCAGAACUGUAACCAGUCUGGCUGUUUCUCUGCCUCACUUUCCGUUCUCUGCCCGUAAAGCGUCUCUCGCCGCACAGCAGCACCAGACACGCUCUGAACCUGUUCUGUCAGGGGCUGCCCAAUUCCCAAAUCAUUCUUUGCUCAGUUAAACUCUGUUAACUGUAGUUUGCCUCAGUUUUCCUUUAUAACAGGCAGAAACGACCACCUCGCAGAACUGCUGUGAAGACCGAACGUGAUCACUCUGUGACAACAUUUCAUAAACUGUGUGUCGCUUGUGAAUGCUGUUAUUUUUCUCAUCUGUAAAAUAAAGGAAUUCAGCCAGGG
rnacentral:lncRNA from 1 species